UUAAGCGACUAAGCGUACACGGUGGAUGCCCUGGCAGUCAGAGGCGAUGAAGGGCGUGCUAAUCUGCGAUAAGCGCCGGUAAGGUGAUAUGAACCGUUAUAACCGGCGAUACCCGAAUGGGGAAACCCAGUGUGAUUCGUCACACUAUCAUUAACUGAAUCCAUAGGUUAAUGAGGCGAACCGGGGGAACUGAAACAUCUAAGUACCCCGAGGAAAAGAAAUCAACCGAGAUUCCCCCAGUAGCGGCGAGCGAACGGGGAGGAGCCCAGAGCCUGAAUCAGCAUGUGUGUUAGUGGAAGCGUCUGGAAAGGCGCGCGAUACAGGGUGACAGCCCCGUACACAAAAGCGCAUGUGCUGUGAGCUCGAUGAGUAGGGCGGGACACGUGGUAUCCUGUCUGAAUAUGGGGGGACCAUCCUCCAAGGCUAAAUACUCCUGACUGACCGAUAGUGAACCAGUACCGUGAGGGAAAGGCGAAAAGAACCCCGGCGAGGGGAGUGAAAAAGAACCUGAAACCGUGUACGUACAAGCAGUGGGAGCACAGGUUUACCUGUGUGACUGCGUACCUUUUGUAUAAUGGGUCAGCGACUUAUAUUCUGUAGCAAGGUUAACCGAAUAGGGGAGCCGGAGGGAAACCGAGUCUUAAUUGGGCGUUAAGUUGCAGGGUAUAGACCCGAAACCCGGUGAUCUAGCCAUGGGCAGGUUGAAGGUUGGGUAACACUAACUGGAGGACCGAACCGACUAAUGUUGAAAAAUUAGCGGAUGACCUGUGGCUGGGGGUGAAAGGCCAAUCAAACCGGGAGAUAGCUGGUUCUCCCCGAAAGCUAUUUAGGUAGCGCCUCGUGAACUCAUCUCCGGGGGUAGAGCACUGUUUCGGCUAGGGGGCCAUCCCGGCUUACCAACCCGAUGCAAACUGCGAAUACCGGAGAAUGUUAUUACGGGAGACACACGGCGGGUGCUAACGUCCGUCGUGAAGAGGGAAACAACCCAGACCGCCAGCUAAGGUCCCAAAGUCAUGGUUAAGUGGGAAACGAUGUGGGAAGGCCCAGACAGCCAGGAUGUUGGCUUAGAAGCAGCCAUCAUUUAAAGAAAGCGUAAUAGCUCACUGGUCGAGUCGGCCUGCGCGGAAGAUGUAACGGGGCUAAACCAUGCACCGAAGCUGCGGCAGCGACGCUUAUGCGUUGUUGGGUAGGGGAGCGUUCUGUAAGCCUGUGAAGGUGGCCUGUGAGGGUUGCUGGAGGUAUCAGAAGUGCGAAUGCUGACAUAAGUAACGAUAAAGCGGGUGAAAAGCCCGCUCGCCGGAAGACCAAGGGUUCCUGUCCAACGUUAAUCGGGGCAGGGUGAGUCGACCCCUAAGGCGAGGCCGAAAGGCGUAGUCGAUGGGAAACGGGUUAAUAUUCCCGUACUUGGUGUUACUGCGAAGGGGGGACGGAGAAGGCUAUGUUGGCCGGGCGACGGUUGUCCCGGUUUAAGCGUGUAGGUGUGUGUUCCAGGUAAAUCCGGUUCACUUUAACACUGAGGCGUGACGACGAGGCACUACGGUGCUGAAGCAACAAAUGCCCUGCUUCCAGGAAAAGCCUCUAAGCAUCAGGUAACAUCAAAUCGUACCCCAAACCGACACAGGUGGUCAGGUAGAGAAUACCAAGGCGCUUGAGAGAACUCGGGUGAAGGAACUAGGCAAAAUGGUGCCGUAACUUCGGGAGAAGGCACGCUGACACGUAGGUGAAGUGAUUUACUCACGGAGCUGAAGUCAGUCGAAGAUACCAGCUGGCUGCAACUGUUUAUUAAAAACACAGCACUGUGCAAACACGAAAGUGGACGUAUACGGUGUGACGCCUGCCCGGUGCCGGAAGGUUAAUUGAUGGGGUCAGCGCAAGCGAAGCUCCUGAUCGAAGCCCCGGUAAACGGCGGCCGUAACUAUAACGGUCCUAAGGUAGCGAAAUUCCUUGUCGGGUAAGUUCCGACCUGCACGAAUGGCGUAAUGAUGGCCAGGCUGUCUCCACCCGAGACUCAGUGAAAUUGAACUCGCUGUGAAGAUGCAGUGUACCCGCGGCAAGACGGAAAGACCCCGUGAACCUUUACUAUAGCUUGACACUGAACAUUGAGCCUUGAUGUGUAGGAUAGGUGGGAGGCUUUGAAGUGUGGACGCCAGUCUGCAUGGAGCCGACCUUGAAAUACCACCCUUUAAUGUUUGAUGUUCUAACGUGGACCCGUAAUCCGGGUUGCGGACAGUGUCUGGUGGGUAGUUUGACUGGGGCGGUCUCCUCCUAAAGAGUAACGGAGGAGCACGAAGGUUGGCUAAUCCUGGUCGGACAUCAGGAGGUUAGUGCAAUGGCAUAAGCCAGCUUGACUGCGAGCGUGACGGCGCGAGCAGGUGCGAAAGCAGGUCAUAGUGAUCCGGUGGUUCUGAAUGGAAGGGCCAUCGCUCAACGGAUAAAAGGUACUCCGGGGAUAACAGGCUGAUACCGCCCAAGAGUUCAUAUCGACGGCGGUGUUUGGCACCUCGAUGUCGGCUCAUCACAUCCUGGGGCUGAAGUAGGUCCCAAGGGUAUGGCUGUUCGCCAUUUAAAGUGGUACGCGAGCUGGGUUUAGAACGUCGUGAGACAGUUCGGUCCCUAUCUGCCGUGGGCGCUGGAGAACUGAGGGGGGCUGCUCCUAGUACGAGAGGACCGGAGUGGACGCAUCACUGGUGUUCGGGUUGUCAUGCCAAUGGCACUGCCCGGUAGCUAAAUGCGGAAGAGAUAAGUGCUGAAAGCAUCUAAGCACGAAACUUGCCCCGAGAUGAGUUCUCCCUGAGACUUAGAGUCUCCUGAAGGAACGUUGAAGACGACGACGUUGAUAGGCCGGGUGUGUAAGCGCAGCGAUGCGUUGAGCUAACCGGUACUAAUGAACCGUGAGGCUUAACCUU
rnacentral:rRNA from 1 species